rnacentral:rRNA from 1 species
UGAGGGAAUAUUGGGUCAAUGGACGGGAGUCUGAGCCAGCCAAGUAGCGUGCAGGAUGACGGCCCUAUGGGUUGUAAACUGCUUUUGUGCGGGGAUAAAGUGUGGGACGCGUCCCAUAUUGCAGGUACCGCAUGAAUAAGGACCGGCUAAUUCCGUGCCAGCAGCCGCGGUAAUACGGAAGGUCCGGGCGUUAUCCGGAUUUAUUGGGUUUAAAGGGAGCGCAGGCGGACUUUUAAGUCAGCUGUUAAAUUCGGUGGCUCAACCAUCGCAUGCAGUUGAAACUGGAGGUCUUGAGUGUACACAGGGAUGCUGGAAUUCAUGGUGUAGCGGUGAAAUGCUCAGAUAUCAUGAAGAACUCCAAUCGCG